AGCUGGUCCGAAGGUAGUGAGUUAUCUCAAUUGAUUAUGUAGUCAGUAACAGAUCGAACUUGUUCUAUUCUGUUCCCCCCUUUCACUAUUGCACUCGACUAGUCUAAA
ensembl:Y_RNA Y_RNA Y RNA